AAAAAUACUAUUUGCAUCGCAUGCAACAAUGAAUCGACGCACAAGACGAACGAUGUGCGUCGUAUGUAACUAACGUGCGAUGCAAAUCAUCUAUGUGCGUCGCAUGAAGCCCAUAGUGCGACGCACAUAACAAAGUAAUCUGCGUCGGACCCUUGGCCCAUCCGACGCAGAUCGGCCCAAAAUCCACAAUGCGCGACUUUUAAACACUCCUCUCCCCUAACUUCUCUCAAACCCUAACUUCAUCUCUCUCUCUCUCUCAACUACCGUCAUCUCUCUCUCUCUCACCUUAGCAUCGUCUCUCUCUCUCUCACCUUACCAUCGUCUCUCUCUCACCUUACCAUCGUCUCUCUCUCACCCACCUUAUACAGAACUCAACGACGACGCACCUUACCUUCGACGCAAGUGAAUCUCAACAACGAAAUCAUUCAUCUUCUUAGUUUCGUGAAUCUCAACAACGAAAUCUCAACAACGCAAGUGAAUCGCACCUUACCUUCGACGCAAGUGACUUUCAAAUUCGUUUUGUGAAGAUCUUCUCGAAGUCUUGUAGUUGCGUUUGAGGUGAAGAUCUGGAUUGCUAUGAAAUUAUAUGAAAUUCUCGAAGAUCUGAAAUUUCGACUGGAUUUCUGUGAAGAUUACGUUUGAGUUUUGUAUUUUAUUUUUAAUUUUAUCUCCCCUUCAUCUUCUGAUUAGGGUUAGAAUUUCUUUUUUCUAUUUUUGAUUUAGUUUCUUGAUUGUUCGUUUUAUUUUUAGAUCUGAUGAGGAUUAAUAGUUAUGAUAAGUCCCAUAGUGGGUGGGAUAUUUUUAGAUCUGAUGAGGAUUAUUUUUAGAUCUGAUGAGGAUCGACAAUCAUCAUUCAUGGACAGGAUAAACUUGUGUUAGGUACCCUUCAAGAACUCGAGCUUUGGAAGGAGAAUGCGCUCAAAGAUGGGUUUGAAGUGGGAUAUAGAAAUCAUCUAAAUCUUUACAGAAAGGGAUUUACUGCUUGUAAAGAUUAACUCUGCACUCCUCUCUUCCUCAUAACUCAGCUGUAUUUUUUUCAAUUAAAAUUAUAUAAAACUAUGUAACAUCUAGUAUUUUUUGCUGUUUUUAAAUUUAGAUCUGAUGAUUUAUAAAACAGUUGUAUUCGGGUUUUUUGAUUGUUUCAA